GCUCCUUUAGCUCAGUGGGAGAGCGCGCCACUCGUAUACAGUUCCAGUACAUGGUUCUCGACUACGCAUAUGGUGAGGUCACUAGUUCAAUCCUGGUAGGGAGCA